UGGCUCAGGACGAACGCUGGCGGCGUGCUUAACACAUGCAAGUCGAACGCUGAAGCCCCAGCUUGCUGGGGUGGAUGAGUGGCGAACGGGUGAGUAACACGUGAGUAACCUGCCCCUGACUCUGGGAUAAGCGCUGGAAACGGUGUCUAAUACUGGAUAUGACCUAUCACCGCAUGGUGUGUGGGUGGAAAGAUUUAUCGGUUGGGGAUGGACUCGCGGCCUAUCAGCUUGAUGGUGAGGUAAUGGCUCACCAUGGCGACGACGGGUAGCCGGCCUGAGAGGGUGACCGGCCACACUGGGACUGAGACACGGCCCAGACUCCUACGGGAGGCAGCAGUGGGGAAUAUUGCACAAUGGGCGCAAGCCUGAUGCAGCAACGCCGCGUGAGGGAUGACGGCCUUCGGGUUGUAAACCUCUUUUAGUAGGGAAGAAGCGUAAGUGACGGUACCUGCAGAAAAAGCACCGGCUAACUACGUGCCAGCAGCCGCGGUAAUACGUAGGGUGCAAGCGUUGUCCGGAAUUAUUGGGCGUAAAGAGCUCGUAGGCGGCUUGUCGCGUCUGCUGUGAAAUCCCGGAGCUCAACUCCGGGCCUGCAGUGGGUACGGGCAGGCUAGAGUGCGGUAGGGGAGAUUGGAAUUCCUGGUGUAGCGGUGGAAUGCGCAGAUAUCAGAAGGAACACCGAUGGCGAAGGCAGAUCUCUGGGCCGUAACUGACGCUGAGGAGCGAAAGCAUGGGGAGCGAACAGGAUUAGAUACCCUGGUAGUCCAUGCCGUAAACGUUGGGAACUAGAUGUAGGGCCUGUUCCACGGGUUCUGUGUCGUAGCUAACGCAUUAAGUUCCCCGCCUGGGGAGUACGGCCGCAAGGCUAAAACUCAAAGGAAUUGACGGGGGCCCGCACAAGCGGCGGAGCAUGCGGAUUAAUUCGAUGCAACGCGAAGAACCUUACCAAGGCUUGACAUAUACGAGAACGGGUCAGAAAUGAUCAACUCUUUGGACACUCGUAUACAGGUGGUGCAUGGUUGUCGUCAGCUCGUGUCGUGAGAUGUUCGGUUAAGUCCGGCAACGAGCGCAACCCUCGUCCUAUGUUGCCAGCACGUGAUGGUGGGAACUCAUGGGAUACUGCCGUGGUCAACACGGAGGAAGGUGGGGAUGACGUCAAAUCAUCAUGCCCCUUAUGUCUUGGGCUUCACGCAUGCUACAAUGGCCGGUACAAUGGGCUGCGAUACCGCAAGGUGGAGCGAAUCCCAAAAAGCCGGUCUCAGUUCGGAUUGGGGUCUGCAACUCGACCCCAUGAAGUCGGAGUCGCUAGUAAUCGCAGAUCAGCAACGCUGCGGUGAAUACGUUCCCGGGCCUUGUACACACCGCCCGUCAAGUCAUGAAAGUCGGUAACACCCGAAGCCGAUGGCCUAACCCGCAAGGGAGGGAGUCGUCGAAGGUGGGACUGG
rnacentral:rRNA from 1 species